GCCGCCCUAUGGGACUCCCAAUCACGACCGGAUGCGAUACAGCCUGGAUUCGAAUUAGCCCUGCCACCUCCAGGCCCCUCCACAGUUCCACUCACAGCGGCACCACCAACUCCACUGCCCCCUCACAGGAUUGGACAGUUUUUGGGGUGGGAGAUGGAGGUCCUCGACACUUCUGGCUCUCCUUAAUGGGAACCCUGGUGGUCUUUCCUCCUUUGGCUGGUCUGAUGCAGAAUCCCCUGAUGGUUGACUUCUGUGUUACACCGCUCAAGUGUGUGGCUGGCCUCGGUCUCACCUGUACGCAGAGAGGAUGAUCUCUGGUCUGGGAAUGGAUCAGUUGCUUCCUCUGGCCAGGCAAGACUGUGGGCAAUGUUGUCCACUUCCAGAACCAACUGAGAAUGGCUCAGCUGUUGAUGGUUGAAUGAUGUUGAAAGGUUUGAUUUGAAGAUUAAACAGAACACAAUUAUAACUUCAUUGUCUUCCCAAACCAGCUCUAACAUCUCUAUACACAUGACUUUUUGUGUACAUAACCUUGUAUGUGUGCAAACUUGUGAUUACAAUGUUUCUGUCAUUAUUACAGAAUGUCAUGUAAAGGACCCUUAAAUGUUUUCAUUUCAAAUUGUUUUAACUGGAUAAGAAUGGAUGAUUUAAAAUGUGAUAAUUCAUUAUAGAAAGACCCAAAAGCAUUCCCACCGACCUCUGCGAGUCUGCUCUGUUGUGGAGCGUAGUGUGGCUGUUGUGAUGCUGUCUUCACGGUGACAGCACAGGACAUUAAGUGAUUUCCAAUUGCUGAUGGCAUUACCUUCUGAUCAAAUCAGCAUUAAAACAACUUUCAUACUAACAACAA